rnacentral:rRNA from 1 species
AGAGUUUGAUCCUGGCUCAGAACGAACGCUGGCGGCAUGCCUAACACAUGCAAGUCGAACGAUCCCUUCGGGGAUAGUGGCGCACGGGUGCGUAACGCGUGGGAAUCUGCCCUUGGGUUCGGAAUAACAGUGAGAAAUUACUGCUAAUACCGGAUGAUGUCUUCGGACCAAAGAUUUAUCGCCCAAGGAUGAGCCCGCGUAGGAUUAGCUAGUUGGUGGGGUAAUGGCCUACCAAGGCGACGAUCCUUAGCUGGUCUGAGAGGAUGAUCAGCCACACUGGGACUGAGACACGGCCCAGACUCCUACGGGAGGCAGCAGUGGGGAAUAUUGGACAAUGGGCGCAAGCCUGAUCCAGCAAUGCCGCGUGAGUGAUGAAGGCCUUAGGGUUGUAAAGCUCUUUUACCCGGGAUGAUAAUGACAGUACCGGGAGAAUAAGCUCCGGCUAACUCCGUGCCAGCAGCCGCGGUAAUACGGAGGGAGCUAGCGUUGUUCGGAAUUACUGGGCGUAAAGCGCGCGUAGGCGGUUACUCAAGUCAGAGGUGAAAGCCCGGGGCUCAACCCCGGAACUGCCUUUGAAACUAGGUGACUAGA